UGUGGAUGUCCCGGAAGUCUUCCGCUCAGUCCGCCGCUGGACGCAGCUCGGCCAGCGGGCUGGAGGGUCGGUCCCACGGAGCGCGCCGAGGCCCAGGGGAGAGCGGGCCCGGGGUGCCCUUCCCUGCGGCCCCUGGUUGGGGCAGACCCGGGGGCGCCCGUCCCUCUGCCCACUUAGGUUCUUUCUGCUCUGUGAUAACGCCCUCCCCCGAUGGGUGAGAAAACCAGCUCGAAGCUCAGGCUCCAAGCUGACAUCUUUUUAAACAUUGUAUGGACACCUGCUGUGUGAUCCAGACGUUCCUCUGCGAGGGGAAGGGCCCACGUACAUGGAGCUGUGCCUGGAGUUGCAUUGCGGCCUUAACAGCCCAGAGCCGACACAGCCCCGACGUCCAGACAGCCGAGCGCACAGAUGAGCCUGGCGUGUCCAAACGUGGACACCUCUCACUGAAAAAUAGCACACUGCGCCUGAGUGUCUGAAUGCUGAAUGAAGGAAGCAGAUAAAAUAUGGAUGUGAGGAGGAUGUGCAGUCUACUGUUGCGUGGAAUGUUCCAGACAUGUCCUUGGAGAAAGUCAACUGAUGGUCUUCAUGUUGAACUGUAUCCUCCCUGGCUUCCUGACUGCUUGUCCAUCAGUUACCAGAAGAGGGCUGCUCAAGUCUCAGAGGUGAACCUGCGCUUGCCGUUUCCCCUCACCAUCCUGCCGGGCUCUGCUCACCUCGGCUCUUUGAUGCUCUGGGGUUUGGGAGGCAGGGAAGGCUCUUCCAAGGCUGAGACUGUAGAAGUUAUGGGGAAGUUCCACGCACUCGGCCGCUGCUCCGUCCCAGCUACCGGCAAAUCCCUCUCUUAGUGGUGGGCCAGGUCCUAUUUGCAAACCUGUGCGGAACAGUGCGCAGGGAGGAGUCUGCCUGUAGAGCUGAGUUACUCCUCCCAGCAGUCUCCGCCCCCUGCCCCCCACAGAGGGUCAGUGUCGUCUCCUUCUGAGUGUCCCGGCCAUCUCUGCAGCCUGAACCCUCAGGUAUGGAAAAGGCAGUCGGCAGGUAGCUUGGGUGAGAAAUAACCUUCUCGGAGCCGUAAGGGUCUGAGGUCACUGUUAUCCCAGCUGGCACAGACUGGCACCUUGAUUCGGGUGCUGCGCCCACAAACCCCAAAGCUAUGGCGUUGGCUCUGGGGCUGGUGGGGCUGUGUGAAACCUUGCCCAGACUGGUUCCACGAGGCCCCGGAAAGCAGAGGUGGAGGCUGUGGACGUAGGCCCAGAGGUUUGGGGAUCAAGUGAGAUCACAGGGCCUUGAUCAGCUGCAAGGGCUGCGGGUCCUCAGGUGGCAGGAAGGAGGAGAGGGCAGGCAGGUGGAAGCCAGUUUGCAAGCAGUGUGGAAAGGACGGGCCCACCUCACUUUGCUGCUCUCCGCAGCUGCUGCGUUUUCUGCAGAUUGGGGGUUUUUGGCCACACCGCGUUGCUCAAGUCUGUCUGUGCCGCUUUUUCCUUAGCAUUUGCUCACUUUGUGUCCCCGCAUCUCAGUUUUAAAUUCCUGCAGCGUUCCAAAUGCCCUUCCAUGUUUUCCUAUUUAUUACCAUGCUCAGUGAUCUUUGAUGUUUCUAUUAAUACUACGAUUCACCGAAGGCUCAGACAGUGGUUAGCAUCUUUUAGCAAUAAAAUAUUUUAAAUUAAGGCACAUACAUUGCUUUUUAGAAAGAAUGCUAUCUCACACUUAAUAGAACACAGUGUAGCAUAAGCAUAAAUUUAUAGGCACAGGGAAACCAAAAAAUUCAUGGGACUCGGUUUACUGUGGCAUUUGCUUUAUUGGGAUGUCUGGGACUGAACCUGCAGUGUCUCGGACGUCUGCCUGUGCUUCUUCCCUCUGGCUAACACAAUAUAAACUAGAGAUGUUUCACUUAACAAAGGCCAGUCAGACUCAGCCUGGUGGCAAAGACCAGACGAACAGGAUGGCCAUCAGGGCUUCAGUUGUUAAUACAAUCAUGGGGCAGGCUAAGGGGACAGCCAUUGUUUCCCCAUCUAUUUGCCACGAAGUGAUGGGGAAACAAUGGAAACAGUGACAGACUUUAUUUUCUUGGGCUCCAAAAUCUCUGUGGAUGGUGACUGCAGCC